rnacentral:misc_RNA from 1 species
CGCCGCGCCGCGCAACCCCCUCCCCGCCGGGGACGGGGUCGCGGGGCGGAGACUGGCCUCCCGUGCGCCCCGGCGCGCGGAUGGCCCAAAUGAGACCCCCCGGCGACGCGCGCCACGGCCAUCGGUGGUUGAUCGCUCGCGUCACGCGCGGUCGUGCCCCGCGCGUCGCCGGCGAGGUCGGACGGAGGGACCCAACGCGCCCGGCGCCAGCAUCC